rnacentral:tRNA from 1 species
CUAGACAAGAGGGCCUUGAUCCCACAACAACCUAGUUAACAGCUAGGCACCCUAUCCAGCGGGCUUCUGUCCG